GCGAUCCAGCAUGCUGUCGUCUUUUGGCCGAGCAGAGUGAAAGACGUCUCUUAAACUCGCGAUUUACUUAGGCAUGUAAAAUUGAACAAAAAAUUUAGCCAUCUUAAACUCGAUUCUUCUUAGGAAAAAAAAAUCUGUCAGAACUUGAUCAACACGUAUAGUCAUUAUUGAUAAUAAAAUUUUCAAAGAAGAAGAAAUUAAAUUGAUCAAACGUAAAUACUAGAAAUUCAAUCAGGACACACACAAGAAAAUGGGUUUCAACACAAGCUUGUUAUUUCUACUUAUCACCUUUAGCAUAUUGACGCAUGAGACACUAGCGUUCAUUUUUUAUCCUGAAAGUGAAUGUUCCUAUGGUUUUGACGUACCGAAUUGCGGCCAAGAAUGGAAGGUGAGAUGGUGGUAUAAUGCAUCGAAAUGGAGAUGUCAAAGGUCUUUUUAUAGUCCAUGCAAAGGACAUGAAAUAAAUUAUUUUCGCUCUCAGUUCGCCUGCGUUUUCUCAUGUAUACAUCACUUAUAUUUUCCAAUACUAGGCAUUAAACUUUUAUUCGAGUAAUUUAUGUAUUGAUAUGUAUUUAUAACAGUUUGAUAUUGAGUUUAAAUAGAAGUACUAAAUGAGAAACUUUGUGAAGUCUUUCUAAAAUGCAAUUGCAAAAGUGUUUUAUUUUUACAAUAAUGACUAAUUAAAAGAAAUGUACGGAUAUAUAUACAUAUAUAUAUU